rnacentral:misc_RNA from 1 species
UAUAAAUACGAUAAAUAAAGAAAUUAAAACAACAUUUUAACGAAAAGGUAGUAAAUCAGCAUACGCUUUCCAUAUACUAGAUAAGACAAAGAAAAACCUAGGACCUAAAUUGAAAAAAAAUUGUGAGUUUUUUUUUAAUCUAGUUAUUUGUGGGCAAAAUUAUGUGUAUAUAUAUGUACGCGUAGUUGGAUAUAUUCAUGUGGGUACUAAAAAAUUUCAGUGUAAUCUCAUUACUGUACAAAUUCACGUUGAUCAUUAUUUAUAUAUAUAUAUAUUCGUGUUUAUUUUGUAUCUAAUGAAGCAUUCCCAAGAUCUGCAAUUUUCACCUCGACUUCACACUCGACUAUCGCUGGAUCCAAAGGUGCUACCGAUGCACGUUUCAACUGCUUAGAUUCCGGAGGGUUCAGAAUAUGCACACUAGUUAAUGCGUUACCU